rnacentral:rRNA from 1 species
GACGAACGCUGGCGGCGUGCUUAACACAUGCAAGUCGAUCGGUAACGCGGGGGCAACCCUGGCGACGAGAGGCGGACGGGUGAGGAACGCUUGGGAAUCUGCCUAUCAGCGGGGGACAACACGGGGAAACUCGUGCUAAUACCGCAUACGCUCUACGGAGGAAAGCCGGGGACCGCAAGGCCUGGCACUGAUAGAUGAGCCCAAGCCGGAUUAGCUAGUUGGCGGGGUAACGGCCCACCAAGGCGACGAUCCGUAGCUGGUCUGAGAGGACGAUCAGCCACACUGGAACUGAGAAACGGUCCAGACUCCUACGGGAGGCAGCAGUGGGGAAUAUUGGACAAUGGGGGAAACCCUGAUCCAGCGACGCCGCGUGGGUGAAGAAGGCCUGCGGGUUGUAAAGCCCUUUCGGUAGGGACGAAAGCUCUCGGCCUAACACGUCGGGAGGUUGACUUAACCUACAAAAGAAGCACCGGCUAACUCUGUGCCAGCCGCCGCAGUAAAAC